UUGCAAUGAUGAUUCAGUAACUAUUGAGAGUGUUCUAGAAUGCUCCAUGGAAGUCCGACAUUUAUGUCGAUCUGAGCGGUUACCUGAGCAA